AACGAACGCUGGCGGCAGGCUUAACACAUGCAAGUCGAGCGCCCCGCAAGGGGAGCGGCAGACGGGUGAGUAACGCGUGGGAAUCUACCCAUCUCUACGGAAUAACGCAUGGAAACGUGUGCUAAUACCGUAUACGUCCUUCGGGAGAAAGAUUUAUCGGAGAUGGAUGAGCCCGCGUUGGAUUAGCUAGUUGGUGGGGUAAAGGCCUACCAAGGCGGCGAUCCAUAGCUGGUCUGAGAGGAUGAUCAGCCACACUGGGACUGAGACACGGCCCAGACUCCUACGGGAGGCAGCAGUGGGGAAUAUUGGACAAUGGGCGCAAGCCUGAUCCAGCCAUGCCGCGUGAGUGACGAAGGCCCUAGGGUUGUAAAGCUCUUUCACCGGUGAAGAUAAUGACGGUAACCGGAGAAGAAGCCCCGGCUAACUUCGUGCCAGCAGCCGCAGUAAUAC
rnacentral:rRNA from 1 species